CUGGCGCCCAACGUGGGGCUUGAGAACAUCAACGGCACAUUUCCCAAUCCCUGCAAAAGCAGCGGCUCCAGGCAGGCACAGUCACGGGCAGGGAUGUGCCCUCCCAGCCACGUGGUUGUCUUCGAGGGUCCCAGGACGAGGAAGAGAUGAGAAUCUUGACUCCAUCUUUUCAGAAGGGUGCAGCUCCAGGCAGCUGGGAGGUGACAGCAGGAGGGACAGCCAGGACUGAGGGACAGCCAGAAACUCUGCUCUGGCACCAGCUGAGCUCCAGGAGACUGGCUCCGUGGGACUUCUCUUGGGGAAGCAAACAGGGCUGUGCAGGGGAAUUUCUGCCCUGCAGCCCACAGCAGUCAGAGAAGCAGUCAGAGGAGGAAAUCCAUCCAGCCGGGAUUUCUGCAGGGUUUAACCAGAGCCUGGCAUGCAGGAGGAGCCCAGGGCUCGGUCUUUAGGCGGAGAGGCCGCGGGAGCCGCAGCCGUGCCCGGCAGAGCUCAGAGCUCGGGUCACCGGCAGAGCAGAUCGGCAGGAGCGGAGCUGAGCGCUGGGCAGCUGGAGCUGCAGCCAAGGCCGGCAGGGGGGACACUGCUGCCACUGCCACUGCCACUGCCACUGCCACUGUCACUGCCACUGCCACCCUCCGAGCCCCCGGGUUCUGCAAGGACGGGCACUGAGUGCCCCCGGCCCCGCUGCGGCCAGCCGGGCACCGAGCCCCUCUCCAGUCACAGCGCCCUGUGCCCACGGGGAGCGGGGACCUGGGCACAGCAGAAGUGUGGCUGUAAUUGGGAUUAAUCUAUUUUUAGCAGGCUGUCUGCUGCCCUGUCCACGCUCCAGCUGAGAUGUUUAAUUCUGUCCAGCUUGACUCUUUCUGCAGUGGCACCCAGGACUGAUUUUUCUUUCCUUACAAACCUUGAAUGUAUUUGGGUUGGGUUUUUUUUUUUUUUUUUUUCCAAUUCAUUGUUUUUCCUUGUUUUGUUUUUUUUUUUUUAAUCUUUUUUUCCCCCUACCUACAAUAACUGGAAAAUCCAGCACUGAAGUAAUACAAAGAUUGCUGUAUUAAAAUAAAAAAAAAAAAAAGUUAUACAACAUUUACUAUCAUUAUUAUUCAUUUUACUAUGGAGUUUGGAAACCUCGUCAUAGAACAGGAAUGUGUUGUACCCUGUGCUGCACAAACAGCACAGAAGGAAAAUUGCCUCUUCCAAGCUAUAUUGGAUAAAAACACGCAGUGAUACCAAAAGGAUUUUGGUUAAACAGCAGCAGGACAAGAUGUUAAAGCCAUCUCUGAGCACCUCACCAUUUACUGACCCCGCACUUAAAUACCUGCCAUGUGUAUCUUUAACCUUUUAUGAGGUAUUUGCAAAGGGAACUUCGAGAUUAGACUUGGGAAAACACCCUGGAACACAGUUGGACCGACAUCAAGAGCCUGCUCCGGCUCGGGAAUGUUUGCCUUUCCCAAAUCCUCCUGGCCCGUGCCAGAGCGGGACCCGCUGCCCAGGGAGCGGAACCUUCAGCAGAGCAGCCAGAGCGGCUCUUUGGGCUUCUCCUGGCGAUUGGGAAGAUGCUCUGCAGGGAAAACCAGGGUCCUGUGCCGAAAGCUGCCCUGCAAACCCAGCCCGGGGCCGGUUCUGUGGGGUUUGGACCCUGCUGGGUUCGGAUCCUGCUGGGUUUGGAUCCUGCUG